GUAGCCAGAGAAAAGGCAAGCAGAAGCUCUCGGGUGUGUGGCAUAUGUAGUUUCUGUGUUUAGUCAACUGAAGUCCAGGAUUACAAAAAUGUGAGGAGGUGGCAAGUAUACAUUUUGGCUCCACUGUGUAGGCUGGCUCAUUGAGAAAGGGGGAUAUUUAAGGAGGGAUUUUCUUUCUCAUGAAAUCUUAUAUUUGAUAUAGUAUAAUUAUUUAUUUAUUUAUUUAAAGCCCACAUACCAUGAGAAAUAUAGUAUAAUCUAGGUAUGUUAUCUGAAAGUGGAAAAAUAUCAAUGGAGAAUAUGCCUGGAGGAUAUAACUGUGGAAAGCUGGAUGGGGCAAAACUUUCCAAAACUUGGAGACAAUACAAAACUACCAAUCUUUUUUUUUUUUUUUUUUUAAGACAGGGUCUCAAUCUGUUGCCCAGGCUGGAGUUCAGUGGCGUAAUCUUGGCUUACUGCAACCUCUGCUCACUGCAACCUCCACCUCCCGGGCUCAAGUGAUCCUCCCACCUCAGCCUCCCAAGUAGCUGAGACUACAGGCACUCGCCACCAGGCCUGGCUAAUUUUUUGUAUUUUUUUGUAGAGAAGGUGAUUUGCCAUGUUGCCCAGAUAGGUCUCAAACUCCUGGGCUCAAGCGACCUGCCUGCCUCAGCCUCCCACAGUGCUGGGCUUACAGGCGUGAGCUACCACACCUGGCUAAAACAACCAACUUUUAACAGCUAACUAAGACCAUCUUUUCACUUCUUAGAAAGAUUAAGUUUUUAACUUCAAGUUUUAGGUGAUAACAUAAAAGCUAACACCACAUUACCAAAUACAUGGCUGCAGCUGCAAUA
rnacentral:lncRNA from 1 species